rnacentral:rRNA from 1 species
UACGUAGGGUGCGAGCGUUAAUCGGAAUUACUGGGCGUAAAGCGUGCGCAGGCGGUGAUGUAAGACCGAUGUGAAAUCCCCGGGCUUAACCUGGGAACUGCAUUUGUGACUGCAUCGCUGGAGUACGGCAGAGGGGGAUGGAAUUCCGCGUGUAGCAGUGAAAUGCGUAGAUAUGCGGAGGAACACCGAUGGCGAAGGCAAUCCCCUGGGCCUGUACUGACGCUCAUGCACGAAAGCGUGGGGAGCAAACAGG